UACGGAGGGUGCAAGCGUUGUUCGGAAUCACUGGGCGUAAAGGGCGUGUAGGCGGCCAGGUAGGUCCGUUGUGAAAACUCGAGGCUCAACCUCGAGACGCCGAUGGAAACCAUCUGGCUAGAGUCCGGAAGAGGAGAGUGGAAUUCCCGGUGUAGCGGUGAAAUGCGCAGAUAUCGGGAAGAACACCCGUGGCUAAGGCGGCUCUCUAGUACGGUACUGACGCUGAGACGCGAAAGCGUGGGGAGCGAACAGG
rnacentral:rRNA from 1 species